CCUACGGGUGGCAGCAGUGGUGAAUUUUGCGCAAUGCUCGUAAGAGUGACGCCGCGACGCCGCGUGAAUGACGAAGGCCUUCGGGUCGUAAAGUUCUUUCGACAGGGAAGAAAAUGCCUAUAAGUAACUGUUUAUGUAUUGACGGUACCAUUAUAAGUAGCCCCGUCUAACUCCGUGCCAGCAGCCGCGGUAAUACGGAGGAGGAGAGCGUUGUUCGGAGGGACUGGGCGUAAAGAGCACGGAGUCGGUGUUGUAAGUCAUUAGGCAAAGACUAGAGCUCAACUUUAGUAAGGCUAGUGAUACUAUAAUACUAGAGUAUCAGAGAGGAUUGCAGAAUUCCUGGUGUAGCGGUGAAAUGCGUAGAUAUCAGGAGGAAUACCGUUAGCGAAGGCGGCAAUCUGGCUGGAAACUGACGCUGAGGUGCGAAAGCGUGGGUAGCAAACAGGAUUAGAUUCCCGUGUAGUC
rnacentral:rRNA from 1 species